rnacentral:rRNA from 1 species
CAGCAGUGGGGAAUAUUGCACAAUGGGCGCAAGCCUGAUGCAGCAACGCCGUGUGAGUGAAGAAGGUUUUCGGAUCGUAAAACUCUGUCCUAAGGGAAGAAACAAAUGACGGUACCUUAGGAGGAAGCCCCGGCUAACUACGUGCCAGCAGCCGCGGUAAUACGUAGGGGGCAAGCGUUAUCCGGAAUCACUGGGCGUAAAGGGUGCGUAGGCGGCUUAGCAAGCCAGGGGUGAAAGGCAUUGGCUCAACCAAUGUAAGCCUUUGGAACUGUUAAGCUUGAGUGCAGGAGAGGUAAGUGGAAUUCCUAGUGUAGAGGUGAAAUUCGUAGAUAUUAGGAGGAACACCAGUGGCGAAGGCGGCCCCCUGGACAAAGACUGACGCUCAGAUGCGAAAGCGUGGGGAGCAAACAGGAUUAGACACCCUGGUAG